AAGUGUUUAAAAAAUUCAAUUAAUCGAAAAGAGAGAGAUUAGGUAAACACCGUGUAAGUAGCUCCGGAUCUCGUCGGCAUACAUAAUGUGAUCAGGAUCUGCGUUACUAUCUGCUCCCAUUUCUUUGGUUUUGGAAUUCUAAUGUUUCCUUACAUUUCCAACACAUCCUCUUCUCAUCUGGUCAAAACAGCAAUUUUUUUUGUUUGUUUGGAGAAAUCGCUUGGAAUCGCAAGUGCGCGGCAUUGAAUUACAAUGUCUACGGUCGCGAGUUCGAAUCCCGUAUUGUUUACAGUUUGGAUAAGAAACUCAGAUUUCAGUAAACGUAUCAAUUCGUCACGCCUUUCCUCUGGUAAAGUAUGUUGCAGUACAAUCAAUGUAGAUGCCGAAAAAAUUAAGCGUUUGCUUAACGUCAAGGGGAGUCCACGCAAUUCUCCACCUGUUAAAAGGCUCCGUAGAAAAGAGAUUUCGGAUUUUAGAAACAUAGAAUCCAAGACGAGAGAUAAUGCGAAACUAGAUUUUUCCGCAGAGGAUUCUCCAUUCGAAGCCGCUUUUGAGGAUUACAUUAAAGUAAUGGACGAUGUCAGGCGUAGUCGGGAGGUGAAUAAAAGCGGCGAAGAAGAACAACACAAGGAAUUAAUUGCAGAAAAGAAUGUUAAUUUGUACAAGAAAUCUGAGCAGAAGGAGACAGGUGUGUAUGGAAGUGCUCGUUUGGAAGCGAAAUCCGAGGGAAUUAGUUUGAAGGCAAAGAGAAAACAAAAAACGGAAUUGGUAGAUUUUCAGAGUAGAGCACGUUUUAAAGAGUUGAAUAUGAAGACUCUAAAAAAAAUGAAUGGGAAGAUGACAGAUACUGUAAGUGAUGAAGAUUUUAGUAUGAAACCCGGCUUUAGGGUUAGCAGGGACAAUAUGAGAGAACUUGUUAAGGAUUCUCUUGAUUUGAAUGCAAAGGUUGGGCUCAUGGCAAAGGCGGAGCGCGGCGUUAAAACAGGGGAAGUAGGAAGAGAGUUGAAGAAAAAUGCAAUGGUGAAUGAAGUAGCAUUAAGUAAAUUAAGUGAAAAGGAGUACAGUAAUAGCAAAUUUGAGCAUUCUCAUAUGGUGGGUGGGAGUAAGACAGAGAACAAAGCUUUCCAGUUCUGUGCAGAGACGGGCCCCUGGGCGAAAACAGAGGAACGAGCUCAGCGACUUGCAGAACAGUUGAACGAUCCACAUAUAAAUAUGACAAUGUGGAGGUUGUCCAAGUUGAUGUACAGUUCAAAGAUAAAGUUUACAGAUAAUUUUUUAAACCAUCUUGUCCAAAUCCUAGGGCAUAAGGGUAAUUGGAGACGAGCUUUGCAAGUAAUUGAGUGGCUUCGCAGCCAUGAGCGGUACAAGUCCAUUCAUUGCAGAUAUAUUUAUACAACUGUUCUUUCCAUUCUUGGAAAAGCUGGGAGACCUGCUGAGGCAUUGAAUAUGUUCCACAUAAUGCGGGAAGAGUUUUCAACAUACCCUGACAUGCCUGCAUAUCAUAGCAUCGCUGUAACUCUUGGUCAAGCUGGUUAUAUCAAGGAGCUUUUGGAUGUGAUGGAUUGCAUGCAAUCUGGGCCGGAUAAGAAACUGGAGAAUGUUCCUCUGAGACAUUGGAAUCCUUGUCUGCGACCUGACUUGGUCAUCUACAAUGCUCUUGUAAAUGCUUGCAUUCCUCACAAAGAGUGGCAAGGUGCAGUUUGGGUUUUACAACAAAUGAGGCACAAGGGAAUCAAGCCUAAUAGUGCAACUUAUGGCCUCAUUAUGGAGGUUAUGCUCAAGUCUGGGAAAUCUGAUUUGGUACAUGAGAUAUUUGGAAAAAUGGAGAGGUCUGGUGUGAUUCCAAAUGCCUUAACUUACAAAGCCCUUGUGCAAGCAUGCUGGAAAGAAGAUAAAAUUGAUGAAGCUGUGGUCAUAAUUGAAGACAUGGAAAGUAGGGGGAUAGUUGGUACAGCAAGUGUGUACUAUGAAUUUGCAUGCUACCUCUGUAGUGCUGGUAGAACACAAGAGGCGCUAUUGCAGGUUGAGAAGAUACGAAGGGUUGCUAAAAAACCUCUUUAUGUAACAUACACGGGCCUUAUUAAGGCUUCUAUGGAUUCUGGGCACUUGCAAGACUGCAUAACUAUUUUUGAUCAUAUGCAGAAAUUUUGUGCCCCAAAUAUAAUCACUUGCAAUAUGAUGUUAAAAUUAUAUGGACAGCAUCAUAUGUUUAAGGAAGCCACAUCUCUAUUUGAGGGCAUUAAAAGAGGGAAAAUUUGGCCUCAAAAAUUCUCUGAUGGUGAUCCAACACUUAUUCCAGACAUUACAACAUACAUUGCGAUGCUAGAGGCAUGUAUGGUGGUUCAAGAGUGGGACUAUUUUGAGAAUGUGUACCAGGAUAUGUUACUCAAAGGUUACCAACUUGAUAAAAGACAACACUCAUCACUCAUUGUGGCAGCAUCCAGAGCUGGAAAGGUGCAUUUGUUGAAGGAUGUCUAUGAGCAAUUGUUUGAAUUAGGAAGAACCCCUCAUGUCUCCGUGUACAAAGAAUUGAUCUGUCAAAACCUACAGGUCGGAGACUAUGCCAAGACUUUGACAUAUCUAAGCAGAAUGGCAUAUUCAAAAUUGAAUAUAAGAAAAAGUGAAUGGAUAGAAUUAUUUGAGAAAAAUUCUGAUCGUAUCAGGAAAAACAAUCUGCAAGGCUUAUUAAAUGAGUUGAGUAGUUCCAGUGGAGUAUAUGAUCAGACUAAUCUCUUUUAUAAAACUUUUAUAAAAUCUCUUCAGCUUAUGAAUGAGCAAUGGACACAAUAAGAUUCUACAAUCCAGAUCAAAACCAUUGCUACAACAAAUUGAGAGUCAGUUUGAGUUGUAAAGAAAGAUUGAAGUUGAUUUCUGCGAAGAUAAGAUCUCAGAUGAUCUCUUGGGGAAAUGAGAUCCCAGUUUAUUUCUAUUAAUUUCGGAUUGCUAGUGCAGAUUUUCAAGAUCUAAGAGCGGCCCACAAGACAUGUUUCUGUCUUGCAGGAUUGGAGUGAUGAAUAGAUUGUGUACAAUAGAUUUACAAGCUUAGUUGAAAGUCUGUAAUAGCAACUUACUCAUUUCCAUUUACACAGAUUGAUGUAUCAAAGUGCAAUUGUUUUUCUCAAAUAAAAUGAGGAAGAAUCACUGAGAGGACGUGGAGAUGAGUUUGCAUGCAGAGCUUUCCUUUGCUUGCUACAUACUUUUUUAUUUGACCUUGAUGCUCUUCCAUUUGCUGGGUAUGUUUUGAAAGUACAGCUUGGAGUUCCAUAAUGUAAUGAUCUAAGGUUCAUGCUAAUGAAUCUGGUAAGAGCUCUAUGACUUUUGAUGUGCAAUUUUUCAUUAAACAAUGCAACUCCUGAAUGUAGUAGUCUUUCAGCUAUGAAUCUUUUCUAAUAGUGACUUCUGUUCUGGCUU